UUAAAGCCGAUGAAAAAGAAAUUAAGUUGAAUAAAAUGAACAGAGAGUGAAUGAUUUGCUGAAAUAUUCACCAUUUUGAUAAACUGAAAGACACUUUUGAGGUGCGUGUGUUUAAAACACAUGUCGUUUAAGUUGCGUUAAGCUAUUAGUAAAAAAUUAAGGUGGUACCGUGCAAAAGCACCCUUGUC
rfam:Lactobacillus algidus DSM 15638 Scaffold1, whole genome shotgun sequence.